CGAUGGCGAAUUAAAGCUAGAUAAAUUAUUCUAAUUAGAGGAAGAUUAAAAUUAAAAAACUCUCCCUGAAGAAGAAUUUAUUCUGAGGAAGGCACUUCAAGUAAAGGAAGAUGCAAGCUGUAAAACUCGCUCAAAAUGCAGGAAGAUUAAAGCUGAAAAUUGUUCUCUUAUUGCAGAAGGAGUUAAGCUGAAGAACGCACUUCAAGUAAGAAUUAAAGUUGAAGAGCUCGCUCCAAACGCAGGAACAUUCGCUCUCAUUGGAGAAGAAUAAAAGUUGACGAACUCCCACUUCAAUGCGGAAGGAUUAAGGCUCGCUCUCUAUUGAUGCUAGGACAUGGUGUGACUUAUAUUUGGUAGGGCUCACAUUAACCACAUCUCAGGGAUAAGCAUUAUUCUGAUUCAAGCAAAAACGUUAGAUAUGAUUUGCAGUUUCUGGGUUUGUCCGGGAUAUGUAAGUAUGUAAAUGUAAAUAUGUAUGGAUUGCAUC